GAGACAGAGGGAUAGACAUUAUCAGGCAGGAGUACACAGUGAGUGCAAAGACAUGCUUCCCCUCCCCAUUUCCUCUACACAAACAUAGGCUGAAAGAAGCAAAAAAACAUGCCUAACUAACACUUCUUCUACUAUAGCCAAUAACUGGGGUUCUAAGCAGCUCCUCAAAGUCAGGCUUCUUGCAGGAACAGUAUAGAAGAGAGAGGACGCCUCGCCCUCUUCUUGCACAACACCUUUCAAAUGCCCUUCUCGAAGCAUCUCAUACCUUGUGCAUUAUCAGCACAUUAUGAUGGGUCUCCUGUGGGUUAGUUAAUAAUUCUCUGCUUUCAAAACAAAUUCUCUGUUUUCAUGCAACUCAUUCUGUACUAAACCCAACCUAGGGAAGGAAUAGUGUUCUGGAAGGGUUGUUUGAAUGCCUGAAGUGAGAGGAAGAUGCUAGGGGAAAAAAAAAGUUGCAAAUCAUCUCAAUUGGAGAGAUGAGGAAGCAAGUGGUCUAACUCAAUGCUUUGCAGGGGGAGGGGAGGGCCUGGGCUGGGCUGGGCCAGGCCAUGGAGGCAGCGAGUUGGUUUAAAACCUGAAUGAAAAACAAGACAGCAGCCCUUUCUAGCUGGCUUUGCUUCAGAAGAAUAACAUUUGUCCUCCUUUUCUUGUUCCCUCUACAUCCUAGUAGAGAGACUCAAGUGUCAUGUCCUGAGCCUAUUCAGAUACCCCAGAAACCAAGGAAGAAAUUUAAAUAUGAAAAAUCGACGAGCUGGGCCUUUAUUCUCUAGGUCUGGAUCCUCCAUCACCUCAUACCUGGAUGGCAACAACCUCCUUGGGACUUUCAGAAAUCAUCUAAUCCAACCUCACCAACUGUAAAUGAAGUAACUGAAGUCCAGAGAUUACAUCACUCGCCUAUGGUCACGCAGCUAAUAAGUAACAGCAGAGAUGUGAACGCAGACCCUCUACCCUGAAUCUGGUGCUCCUCCCACUACACAGAGCUGUCUUCUAACCUCCAGUCUUUACAUCCCUCCCUUCUACUUUGACUCAGCAACUGAGAACUGCAGCCUUCAGGGCCUCUAGCGUUGACAUCACCAUGGGUUGGUAGUAGCUUGCUGAGGUUAGAUUAGAGACAAAGGGUAUUUAAAGAGGUAGGGCAAAAGAGGAAAGAGGCUCCAAUCCCUUUGUCUCUUGGGAAAAUUAAACCGGAGUCUGUUGCAGUAGGAAAACCUUACUCAUCUCUGUCCUCUAAGUAGAAUUUUUCCUCCUCUAAGCCUAUUGAAAAACAAAACAAAACCAACUGAUAACUUUUUGGGGGCUCGCUUUCAUUUUUAUAUC